rnacentral:rRNA from 1 species
UACAGAGGGUGCGAGCGUUAAUCGGAAUUACUGGGCGUAAAGCGUGCGUAGACGGUUACGUAAGUCGGGUGUGAAAGCCCCGGGCUCAACCUGGGAAUUGCAUUCGAGACUGCGAAGCUAGGGUGCGGAAGAGGGAAGCGGAAUUUCCGGUGUAGCGGUGAAAUGCGUAGAUAUCGGAAGGAACAUCAGUGGCGAAAGCGGCUUCCUGGUCCAGCACCGACGUUCAGGUACGAAAGCGUGGGGAGCAAACAGG